rnacentral:lncRNA from 1 species
GGGAGGUUUGUGUAGGUGUAGAAAAGUGAGGGGUGGUUUAUGUAAUUUCACUAAAACUCAGUGGUGUCAGUGUAAUUUACUCUAAAAACAACAACACAAAGAAUCAAUAGAGCAAAUCAUUUAAUAUAUGAAUAAAUACGAUGACAACUCUCCAAAAUAGAUUAUAAUAGAACCCAAAGAAAAACCUAUAUAAUUGUUG